AGUGAACGCUGGCGGUAGGCCUAACACAUGCAAGUCGAACGGCAGCACAGUAAGAGCUUGCUCUUACGGGUGGCGAGUGGCGGACGGGUGAGGAAUACAUCGGAAUCUACUUUUUCGUGGGGGAUAACGUAGGGAAACUUACGCUAAUACCGCAUACGACCUACGGGUGAAAGCAGGGAACUUCUGACCUUGCGCGAUUGAAUGAGCCGAUGUCGGAUUAGCUAGUUGGCGGGGUAAAGGCCCACCAAGGCGACGAUCCGUAGCUGGUCUGAGAGGAUGAUCAGCCACACUGGAACUGAGACACGGUCCAGACUCCUACGGGAGGCAGCAGUGGGGAAUAUUGGACAAUGGGCGCAAGCCUGAUCCAGCCAUACCGCGUGGGUGAAGAAGGCCUUCGGGUUGUAAAGCCCUUUUGUUGGGAAAGAAAAGCAGCAGGUUAAUACCCCGCUGUUCUGACGGUACCCAAAGAAUAAGCACCGGCUAACUUCGUG
rnacentral:rRNA from 1 species